CAAUCACUCAUUAGCUAUUCCUAUUUACCUGUACAACAGAGAAUAGUAAAUGUUUGGGUUGCAUUAUGAAUGAAUAUAUAACUUAGUAAAAGUUAUAAACUUCCCUAAAACUGGUGGUUAGACAGGUUUCUGUGCUGGGGGAAGAAUUUCAGUUUGUAAACAGCUUUAACUAGUCUGGCAACAGCACUGGAAAUGACCCCCCAGCUGGGUAGAGCUUCUUUUAGUUACAAGUUAGAAAACCAGUUUAAUUUCUAAUUGUUCUACUAUGCAACCGAAGCUGUUAACAAUGCUAUCCCCCUAUGCAUGCCAACACAAAAUUAACUUUGUUGCCAAAUAGUGGUUUUACAGUACGGCGUGCCACGUAUUUUAAGAUAAACAAACUGUCACUAGUGCUAAAAAAUAUUUUUUAAAUAUGUUUUAUACUCAUUGCAAUUAUACUGGAUCCCAAAGUCAAGACUGUCUGGUGACCUCUGACUUUUCCGGGCCAAUUCCAGGUUUGGGUGGAAUGACAAGCCAUACUUGUCAGCGGAAGAGCUUUUAGCAUGGAAGGAAAAGCCAGAAUAAUUUUGGUAAUUAGUAUUUAAUCAAUUUCGUUGGGUAAGUAUAUUUGAAAAACCGGCUGGAAUCUAACACUUAUUUAAAUAUAUAUUUUACCUGUUAAAAUUACAUUAUUUAUUCUAUGAAUUGCUGAUUAUAAUCCACCAAAAUAUAUUGAAUGCAAUUUUUACACCUAUCCUACUGAUUAAAAAAAAUAAAUAGUUAAUCAUUUAUUGUAAAACAAAUGUAAUUCAGUUACAGCUAGGCUCAGAUCAUGAUAUUAUGUUUUCAUUUUAACAUUUCCUUGGUAAGUUAAUUUUAGUCAAGAACCACAUUUAAAUGUAAGCAAAUGAAAACUUUUGGCCUCACUUCUGAACCCACUUCAGCUUGGAAAGUUCCAUCUUCAUAGGUCAUUAUGAGUCCCUUCUGAACUGUAACAAAAAGUUCCAACCUUUACCAAGUUAGUUAGUUUCCACAUUAAACCCUUCACACCCAGUGAAACGUUUAUUUUAUGACCCUAAAGGUACACUAUCGAGAGAAGGGGAGAUAAGCAGCAGUACUGAAUCACUGUUUUUGUUACAGCUGUCUUUGUUCAUAUAUUGUGGGAGGAUUUUUAUCAAUAACCUUCCUGUGAAAAGACAAAGUAUGUGUGUGCUGGACAGCAGUUUAGCUCACUCCAUGGACACUGCAGGUGGCUAAGGGAACAGGAUCUCUAAUGUGGAAAUAAUAGAAACUGACACUUGUGCAUGCUGACCUCCGAUGGCUCACACACCAAGGAUUUCCUGCCAGAGAGAGAACUUCAUGGUUCUUUUUAUUACCACAAGUCAUCCAGGGCCUAAACCAGCAAGCAACCCCAGACCAUCACACUACCACCAUCAUGUUUGACUAUCGCCCAUCUUCCCUCCUCCUUCUCAGCUCCUCUCCUGGUUGCAGUUGUAUUUGUACGCCUUUGGAAGAUUACAAAGAGGUGCUUUGUGAAGGGAUGCAGCUGCUGAAAUUCAACUAGAUCCAGCUGAAGAGAGAAGGGAGCAGGACCAGUCCUUCAUGACCAGGUCACAUCAGAUCGGCCUGGCGGAUGAGGAUCACCGGGGGGCCGCAAGGUGCUGGUAGUGGGAACAUUGCCUCUGUUAUGAAAGACACCAUUGUCCCGUCUGCCUCGCCGACAUAGAAAAUGAAUAAAUCAAAGUGGAGAGAUCAAGAGUGGAGGAGAAGAGGGAAUGGCAAGAA